ACCUAGGAAUCUGCCUGGUAGUGGGGGACAACGUUUCGAAAGGAACGCUAAUACCGCAUACGUCCUACGGGAGAAAGCAGGGGACCUUCGGGCCUUGCGCUAUCAGAUGAGCCUAGGUCGGAUUAGCUAGUUGGUGAGGUAAUGGCUCACCAAGGCUACGAUCCGUAACUGGUCUGAGAGGAUGAUCAGUCACACUGGAACUGAGACACGGUCCAGACUCCUACGGGAGGCAGCAGUGGGGAAUAUUGGACAAUGGGCGAAAGCCUGAUCCAGCCAUGCCGCGUGUGUGAAGAAGGUCUUCGGAUUGUAAAGCACUUUAAGUUGGGAGGAAGGGCAGUAAGCGAAUACCUUGCUGUUUUGACGUUACCGACAGAAUAAGCACCGGCUAACUCUGUGCCAGCAGCCGCGGUAAUACAGAGGGUGCAAGCGUUAAUCGGAAUUACUGGGCGUAAAGCGCGCGUAGGUGGUUCGUUAAGUUGGAUGUGAAAUCCCCGGGCUCAACCUGGGAACUGCAUCCAAAACUGGCGAGCUAGAGUAGGGCAGAGGGUGGUGGAAUUUCCUGUGUAGCGGUGAAAUGCGUAGAUAUAGGAAGGAACACC
rnacentral:rRNA from 1 species